rnacentral:rRNA from 1 species
CCCGGGCCUUGUACACACCGCCCGUCAAGCGAUGGAAGCCGAGGGCACCCGAAGGCGGUAGCUCAACCCGUAAGGGAGGGCGCCGACGAAGGUGAAAUCGGUAACUGGCGCU